GACUAGUGGUUAAUCGGGACGUGGUCAAACGGGACACGGAUAUUCCGUCUCACUUUUCCUCUAUAUUUUUUCCCUUUGUUAGCAUGAGAUGCUUAUACAAGUAUUUAACGUUCAGCAGAAAAUGGUGGAAAUAUCUCGUACAAAAAUAAAGUGAGAAAGUGAUUAGUGCUCAGUAACCCAGAUAGCAAAAUGUUUCAAAUUUGCUGUUAUAUAGCCGAAAGUCAUUGCAACAAUUAAUUUAGACAAACUCGGGACAAGAUAAGGCAGCAUUAUGUCUGUCGCAUUGAACUCCAUGGAAUGAUAAUUUUAAUAAUGACAAAUCGAUGGCAAUAUGUCAGCAUCAAUCUAUUAUUCACAACUUAACGACAACUCGUGUUGUCAAUUUGUCAUCCGCAAUUACCAACAUGUUGAUAAUAAAUUGGCAAUAAUUUGAAAGCAAUUUGUCAUCAUCGGUAUGCUAUCCACACUCACAAAAGCAUGUUAACAACAACAUAACGAUAACAUAUACCAAACAAUGAGUGCUGCUAUAUGCUGAUAAUAUGCGAACAAAAUGUUCUGUGUCAGUUUCCCUAGUAAAAUGACAGACAGAAUCGAAUUUCGGUUUUGUUAGUCUGUCUGUAUACAGAUAAAAUCAGCAGCUUACAGUUUAGAUAGAAAUCAUAUCCAUUUCUGUCCGAUUCUGUCCACAAUUUUUACCAGAGUUGUGCAUUGUAAAUAUUUCGAAACAACACCGACAAUGUUCAAAAGACAUAUUGUUGUAUUCGUUAUGUGUCCUAUUUCGAUGUCAGCAAAUAUACGGCAAAUAUAUAGCAACACAUGCAUAGUUCGC